ACUAGGCUAUGAUUUAUUGGGGAGCAAGAAGUUUAGCAAGUCUUGAAACUAAUUAGCUACGAUUAUUAAUUAGCAGUUUGAACGUGUCAUGUUCAAGCAAACAGAGUUUCUGCAGAGGGGACGACCAAACGUGUUGUCAUCUAGCCAUCACCCCAGAGAGCAUCAGCAGCUUUAGAAGGCUCCUGCACACCUGAGGCCCCUCUGUCUCCAAGAGAAGGCAACAAGGUUGAGUGGAGCACACUGGUUUCACAGCACAUGGAGAUAACACAGACUCUUCAUAAUUGUAACAGCAAAUCAGGGAUAUCUUCAGAAAAGUUGAACAAUGUUUCAUUGAUGAAAGAAACAAAUGAAUCAGAGAUGCGUAGAGCAUCCUACAGGCAUUCACCGAUGGCGUUCGACUCUGCCUGCUCCCCAAGAUGCAGUGGCUCAGGAGACCGAGCUCUCGUGACAAACUAUAAAUCUGAGAUGAUAGUCGAUUUGGAGAAUACGGUGGACAGACUGAAAAACGCUCUGGUGUCAAUGGAGGAGGACAACCUGAGCCUCAACAAGAAGAUAAGAGAAAACAAGGCGGAAGACCGCCCAUCUUUGGCCAAUCACAAUGUCUUAAGCUCAAGAAGUGACAACAAUUCACAGGAACGCCCAUCUUUGAUCAAUCACAAUGUCUUAGGCUCAACAAGUGGCAACAAUUCACAGGAAAUGGCUGGUGAUCACAGUCCCAACUCCAAACUCACACUGUCACUUUCAACAUUGCCAAAACAUACCCAGAAAGUCAGAGGCAAGAUACACCAUCCAAGAUAGAGGAGACUAGGAUGAGAGCGAUGCUCAAAAUGGAGAGCCUAUCCUUGGAGGACAGGUGCGUUUACUUGGAGAAGGAGAAACAGGACUUGCGGAGGAAGCUGCGGAAGACAGAGGACUACUGCAAGGAGUGCGUCCGCGAGCUCAAGAGGAUCCUUCCAAAGUACGAGGACCUCAAAGCCUUGAAUAAAACCCUGGAUAAGUGCAACAAGCAGCAGGCCGCAGAGAACCGCAGACUCGUCAACGCUCUUGAGGCCGAGAGCCAGGCAGGGGAGAGAUCCAGGGAUCCCAGCCUGGCUCGGGAGCCCAAAGAAGGGGAUGGUGACAACCGGGUGUGGGUUCAACUGGAGAGGGCCAAUGAUCGCUGCACCCAGCUCACCCAGGAGAAGGGGCAGCUGGAGGACCGAAUGGCCUCGCUGGCAAGGGAGGUCAGCCGGCUCACGAACGAGCUGCAUAUGAGCUGGGCCGAACUCCAUCGGCUGGGGGCCAGGUGUAGAAGCUCCCUUGAGGGGAGCACGACUAGGGACUGCAGCCCUCUGGCCUCGUCGGGCAACAAACACCUGGCCGAACGCAUCCUAGACAGCGUAGGGAGCCCUGUCGGGCUCCGUGGCCCAUCUCAAAGAGGAGAACAAGACACUACGAGAGAACCUCAAGCAGAGCGUCAAGAGGGGUGAGGAGGCAGAGGGCGGAGCCAAGCAGCUGAGGGGAUUGCAGGCCAUAUUAGAAAGCUGCCUGCUCACGGUGCAGCAGGAGAAAGACCUGCUAACGCUGGAGGUGCGGCAGCUCCACCAGGAGUACAUUGAUCUCAGCAGUAGCAUCUCGCUGCAACUGAGAGAGAGGAGCCCCGUCACCACUGCCAGGAUAUUAGCAGGGUCACAUGAGGUGAUUGAUGAUGGAGCCAGGCAGCAAGAGAGUCCAAGGCAGCCUCUGAACAGCAGCCCUAUUACCAGAGAAAUGCUGGAUGGCCCUGUAGGCGGAGAGGCAAUUGACCAUAUAAGGAAGCGUUUUGAGGAGGAGGAGCAGAGAGCCCAGAGGUACAAAAACAUCAUCAAUCAGAAUGAAUGAGGCUGUAGCUGGAUCAGUCGGCCAGGCAGACUGGGUGUUGACCUCUACCUCCCGUACCACGACCUGUGUGACAGAGGAGUCAGGAGGAGUCAAACACAAACAUACUGUAGCUUAUCGUAGAGCUCUCUGCACCACUUUACCAACAAUGUGCCCGUCACAGUCAUGUACCAUAUGCACAGUAUAGAUUUGAAUUCCCUGAUUAUAUUAUGCUUUUCAAAUUAUUUUGUCAGUGUUAUCAUUUCUGAUGUUAUUUACUUGAGAAUUGGAGCUACUGUAGAUAACUGACAUAUCAAGGCUUGGGAUGAUGCCAGUAUUACCAUACUCGUUAGUAAUGUUGCAAGGAAACAAAACAUGAACAAUUGGCCCAGCGUCGUCUGGGUUUGACCGGGGUAGGCAGUCAUUGUAAAUAAGAAUUUGUUCUUAACUGACUUGCCGAGUUAAAUAAAAAAAAUCAUCCAGGCCCUAUUUGUUGCUGUUGUGGAUCACAUGACCCAUGUAGUUUCAUUUGGAGAAGGUCUGGAUAUUUUUGGACAGUAGGGGGAGCUGUUGUAUCAUUCAUGAGACACCUCUCUAUUAGGAUCUAUUAGACCUCAACAGGCAAAAGGGGUCAUCACAGUUUAUGUUGGUAGUAUGUAGUCUGCUGUAUGCAUCAUUCAUUCUAACAUGUCUAAUUAACAUCCACUGGGCAUUACAAUCCAGUUGGUGAGGUGUUAUAUUUGAUUCCCUUGUUUAUAGGCAGGCCUAGUAUUAUAGUGUUUGCUAUUUUGCACCCAAAGACCCAAUAAGUCAGAUGGAAACCCACCAUUUUGAGUUAACACUUUAUUUGGAUAAUCCAUCUGUAGAUGCUCUACAGACUAUCUACUAACCGUAACCCUUACACUAACCGAAACAACCCUUACCGUGGCAAGCAGUUGCUUAUCAACAGAUAGUAUAACGAUCUGCAGAGAUUCUACAGAUUGACUAUCUGUAUUAUCCUAAUAAGGUGUGACCCCUUUUGACUCCUUAUGGUUACACAGAUGGCAGAUGAGCACAUUAGGAUUCUGUAUACCCUGCUAGCCAUGCCAUGCUAAUCAUUGGAUGGCUUUUGUGGGACUAUAUGACUCACAUCUCAGCGUGUCUUGAGGCUUUCAUUCUUAUCCGUUACCCAUCUGUCUGGCAGUAAGAGUUGUUGUGUUGCAUUGUUGUCAUCAGGCCACUUAUGCUUAGCUACUCCUGCCAACUUUAGUCUAUUUAGGCAUUUCAGGAAGAAAGAACCCCAUUCUUUGACAGAAUCAAUACAUAUUUCUUUGUCUCCCACCGAAAACAUGUUUUACUUUCUGACUUGUCCGAUACCCAUUUGUCUGGCAGAAAGAAAGAUGUACUGCAUUGUCAUCAGGCCACUUAUCCUGAGCAACUUUAGUCUAUUGAGUAAUUUCACAAAGUAAAAACUCAGUUUGACAGAAUCAAUACUUUUUUUGUUAUGUGUCCCGGGAAACAUAUUUUUGACCUCAUGACAUUCAUUCUCUCACUGAUACCUCACUGAUGUAACUGCUGCAGUCAUUUCAUGCUACAGUCAGCAUGUGAGUCAUUAAAUCAUUAUUCAAUGUCUAUCUGUCGUAAGAAAAUAUUAUAUGGGCAUUUGAUAUUGAUUCUGUUUCACAAAUACUCAUACGAGCCUAUAACUUUGACUUCAAAAUGCUAGAUGGAUGGAAAGCCAAGCGGUAAGUCAUCAACUUCACUGCUUGCAUCCUAAUGUGAUUCCGUAGUGAACACAGACAGUAUCAAAGGGAAAAUGACAUGCGUCUUAAACCACAUUGCUCAUGUCCUUCAGACUUGAUUUAGACCGGGGGCAGCCCGGUCUAGCCCCCCCACGGGCUCCGCUCUCUGUAAGCCGCAGGUCAAUAACUUUCGACAGCCUGAUAAACCAUUAUUGGCUUACGUGCUGAAUGGUCCAUGAAUGAGUUACUAAAAACAGAGGCAUUGAACCAAUCCCCGCCACACAACCGCAGUGAUGGGCUAAGAAACAGGAAGAAAGGACAGCCUCUUAAAUGAUCCAGAAAUAUAGUGAGGACAUACUCUAGCGGUAAUGAGACUGUUUGCUGCAACCAAAGGCGAGGGAGGGGUUCCGGAUCUGUCGUGGACUGUCUAAUAAUAUAGCGUACAUAUAAUUGUGCCAGAGUUGCAAUAUACACUGAGUGUACAAAACAUUAGGAACAUCCUAAUAUUACGUUGCACCCCUUUUUGCCCUUAGAAUAGUCUCAUUUUGUCGGGGCAUGGACUCUACAGGGUGUCGAAAGCAUUCCACAGGGAUGCUGACCCAUGUUGACUCCAAUGCUUCCU